rnacentral:ncRNA from 1 species
CUUUGCCUUUUAAUUUACCCGCGAGCCAACCUACCUUGAUUGGCUGGCCGUUGAGUUCGAUAUUACCCAACCAGUUGGAAAAAUUAAUCGCAUGUUGCUCUGCUAAUAAUUCCGUUGGCGCCAUUAACGCAACUUGAUGGCCGUGCUCUAACGCCCGAAGCGCGGCGAGGGCAGCAACCAAGGUUUUACCCGAACCGACAUCACCUUGCACCAAUCGCAUCAUAGGGUGAGGCUUCGCUAAGUCUGUUUCAAUCUCAUUAACCACU